UUUUUGGAAUGAUACAGAGAAGAUUAGCAUGGCUCCUGCACAAGGAUGACAUGCACAAAUUUAGAAAUGGUCCAAAUUUUU
rnacentral:snRNA from 1 species